AGUUCCCUGCGAUGUUCGUGAUAAAUGGUAAUCUUAGAGCCAACACCUCUUUUAUGGGGGUCUUCCAUUGCCGGUGUGUGCAAGCUCACAGAAUAGGUGAGAAGCCUGAUCUGGCAAAUAGACGCCCACUUUAAAUUGAGGUUCAAGAAAUACUGUUUACACGGCAUCUGCGGGGCUUUU
rnacentral:other from 1 species